rnacentral:lncRNA from 1 species
CAAGCAAUGUAAUUUUGCUUUCCUGAAUGUGUAGUAUUCUACACACUAAAAUAAUUUUGACCUGGUGCUGUAAAGACUUCAGAUUCUGUAUUCAAAUUUUCAACAGGUGAUCUUUAUGAAACUAGACCAACCAAUGACUCAAGUUCCAGCUCUGAUUCCAAAUGGAACAGGCAACAUGGCGGCGGGAGCAGCCCAUUCAAAUGACAAAAUAUCCGAAAUGGAGUUAUGGCAAAAUCAGACAUCACAAGACCAGUGGGGCGUCGGGGGACAACAGUUCAUACGGGGGAAUUUCUGGCGUUCGUCAACAGGUACCUCAUCAACCAUGAGAACCACAGAUCAGAGCAGAAACUCAUUUAUGCGCAAGAUGAAAGCCAUUAAAUAUUCUACAGAAUAUGAAAUUGGCGUCCACCGUGAAUUUCUGUCCCAAGCACUAAAUAUGGUAAUGACAAUAAUUUAAUCAACCCUACCAAGCUAGGAUAAGUCUGUUUCUUUCUUUAAAAAGACUAAAACUUCUCAUCUUCU